rnacentral:rRNA from 1 species
AACGAACGCUGGCGGCAGGCCUAACACAUGCAAGUCGAACGAAGCCUUCGGGCUUAGUGGCGGACGGGUGAGUAACGCGUGGGAACGUGCCCUUUGGUUCGGAAUAGCCCCGGGAAACUGGGAGUAAUACCGGAUGAGCCCUUCGGGGGAAAGAUUUAUCGCCAAAGGAUCGGCCCGCGUUGGAUUAGGUAGUUGGUGGGGUAAUGGCCUACCAAGCCGACGAUCCAUAGCUGGUUUGAGAGGAUGAUCAGCCACACUGGGACUGAGACACGGCCCAGACUCCUACGGGAGGCAGCAGUGGGGAAUCUUAGACAAUGGGGGAAGCCCUGAUCUAGCCAUGCCGCGUGAUCGAUGAAGGCCUUAGGGUUGUAAAGAUCUUUCAGUGGGGAAGAUAAUGACGGUACCCACAGAAGAAGCCCCGGCUAACUCCGUGCCAGCCGCCGCCGUAA